rnacentral:rRNA from 1 species
GACGAACGCUGGCGGCGUGCUUAACACAUGCAAGUCGAACGGUGAAGCGCCUUCCUUUUUGGUGAGUGUGGAUGAGUGGCGAACGGGUGAGUAACACGUGAGUAACCUGCCCCCUUCUUCUGGAUAACCGCAUGAAAGUGUGGCUAAUACGGGAUAUUCUGGGUCUGUCGCAUGAUGGGUCUGGGACAGAUAUUGUUUCGGUGGGGGAUGGGCUCGCGGCCUAUCAGCUUGUUGGUGGGGUGAUGGCCUACCAAGGCGGUGACGGGUAGCCGGCCUGAGAGGGUGGACGGUCACACUGGGACUGAGACACGGCCCAGACUCCUACGGGAGGCAGCAGUGGGGAAUAUUGCACAAUGGGCGCAAGCCUGAUGCAGCGACGCCGCGUGAGGGAUGGAGGCCUGCGGGUUGUGAACCUCUUUCGCCAGUGAAGCAGGCCUGCCUCGUUUGUGGGUGGGUUGACGGUAGCUGGAUAAGAAGCGCCGGCUAACUACGUG